GUGGAGUGUGAGGAGCUAAACACCCUUAUGCCUGCAUAUUCGUGCUCUUUGGGUGUACUUGCUCGCAUGGUUGGUUAACAUCAAUUUCGGAUGUCAUAAAAUGGUUGGAGGAAUGUAGCUUCGAUCUUGUAUUGAAGUGUUAUAGCCUUCGGCAGAUGUGAUGAUCGGGAUUGAGGAUUGCAACGGAUACCCUUCGGGGCUACCCGUCUGAUCUCUGAUAGUUGCUCUGGUGCCGAAAGCUUGCUUACGGUUAUCAAAGUUGACGGUCAACAGGUUAGAACGGGUUAAA
rnacentral:rRNA from 1 species